rnacentral:tRNA from 1 species
GGCCCCAUGGUCAAGCGGUUAAGACGGAGCCCUCUCAAGGCUCAAUCAGGAGUUCGAUUCUCCUUGGGGUCACCA